GGUGUAAAAAUGAGCGUGCGUCCUAUUAGCUAGUUGGUGAGGCAAUGGCUCACCAAGGCUACGAUGGGUAGGGGUUCUUAGUGGAAGAUCCCCCACACUGGCACUGAGAUACGGGCCAGACUCCUACGGGAGGCAGCAGUAGGGAAUAUUGGUCAAUGGGCGAAAGCCUGAACCAGCCAUGCCGCGUGCAGGAUGACAGCUCUCUGAGUUGUAAACUGCUUUUGUACAGGAGCAAAACAAUCCCUGCGGGGGUUCUUGAGAGUACUGUAAGAAUAAGCACCGGCUAAUUCCGUGCCAGCAGCCGCGGUAAUACGGAAGGUGCAAGCGUUAUCCGGUUUUAUUGGGUUUAAAGGGUGCGUAGGCGGCUUAUUAAGUCAGUUGUGAAAUCCUAGUGCUUAACGCUAGAACUGCAAUUGAUACUAUUAGGCUUGAGUAAGAAUAGGUA
rnacentral:rRNA from 1 species